UGAGCCAUGGAGUCAGUGAUGCCCCACGAUCUUAAAGGCUUCAGUGUGUCAUUUCUACAAACCAGGACAUUCUUUUACUUAACCACAACACAGUGAUCAACAUCGGGAAAUUAACGCUGAUAUAUUACCAUCUAACCUACAGACCCUGUUCAAGUUGCCAGUUGUCCCAUCAAUGUCCUUCAUAGUCAAGUGCUCACAUUGCAUUUUGUUACAUCUCUUUAGUCUCCACCACUCUUACAAGUUUGUCUUUCUUGACUUUAAUUACUUUAACAUUUUUUAAGAUUUCAGGUCAGUUAUUUUGUAGACCAUUCCUCAAUUUGGGUUUGCCUGAUGUUUCCUUUUUAUUAGAUUUAGAUUGUACCUUUUUGGCAAGAAAACCACAAAAGAGAGAUUGUCUUCUUCUUGCAUCUUAUCAGGUGUCACACAGUUUUGAUUUGUCCAGUUUAUUUCCUCUGCACUAACCCUGCAAAGGGCUUUUUCUCUAAGAUCUGAUCUCUUUUAGCAGAAAAUGGUAUUUAGAAACCAAGAUCUGGGCAGUAGGCAUGCUCAUUGUUUUGUGCCAUUGCUGUUUCCAAGCCCUCUCAUGGAACAGAGCUAGGGAACAAACAUGAAUGCAUGUGCAUGCACACACACACACACACACACACACACACACACACACACACACACACACAUACACCUAUACGUCUCUGUAUCUACACAUACUGAAAGCUGUAAGAGUUUAUACCAGUACUUCCAAUUCCAACCUUAUUCUAGUUUUCAGCCUUUCCAAAUUUGUAAUUCUCUUCUCUGACUAUAAGAAAUCUGGCUCCUGCUUUUUCUCUGCCGCCACCGAGUUGUACAGAGGUGGAGUCUCGGGUGCAUUCAAGAUUUGGCUUCACUUGUAACCCACUGCCAUGGCGGAGGAAGGCAGUGCUGCUGGAGGUGCAGUGGACAUUAAUACUGUUUUACAGGAGGUGCUGAAGACUGCCGUCAUCCAUGAUGGCCUAGCACGUGAAAUUUGCAAAGCUGCCAAAGGCUUAGACAAGUGCCAAGCCCAUCUUUGGGUGCUGUGUGUGCUUGCAUCCAACUGUGAUGAGCCUAUGUAUGUCCAGUUGGUGGAGGCCCUUUGUGCUGAACACCAAAUCAACCUAAUUAAGGUUGAUGACAAGAAACUAGGAGAAUGGGCAGGCCUCUGUAAAACUGACAGAGGGGAAACCCCGUAAAGUGGUUGGUUGAAGUUGUGUAGUAGUUAAGAACUAUGGCAAGGAGUCUCAGGCCAAGGACGUCAUUGAAGAGUACUUCAAAUGCAAGAAAUGAACAAAUAAAUUUUUGGCACACACACACACAGACACGCACUUAAAAAAAAAAGAAAAAAGAAAGAAAAAAGAAAUUUGACUCAGUCCUCCUCAAAAAUAACCAAUCUAUUGCUGCCUCAUUAUUCACAGUCCCCUCCCUGCUGCCCUCAGACGUUCUCCUCAGGCUCCACACUGCAGCCCUACACUAGGCCACUACCACUGCCCCCUGUGGUAACAUCUUCUUGCACUUGAUACAGAACAAGCAAAUGGCUUUUGUCCUGAAUUAUUCAGGAAGGGAGGGAGACAGGUGGGAAGGAAGUCAGGAAGGCAGAAAAUAAAAAUCGUUUGAUACCACAGAAAUACGAAGGAUCAAAGGAGAUUAUUAGGAACAAUUAUAUAUUAUAUGCCAACAAUUGGAUCACCUAGAAGUGGACAGAUUUCCAGACGCAUACAACCUACCAAGAAUGAAUCAUAAACAGAAAAUCUAAACAGACCAAUAGCAAAUAAGGGUCACCUUUACUCUGAGGAGAGGACAGUAGGUAGGGAAGCAGUACAACUUUUAACUUGGAGCAAAACCAUGCUCUAGGGAAACAUUAUUAGCAUCCCCAGCAACAGCAGCAGCCAUCGCUGCUGCCAAUACCUGCAAAUGGGAAAAAGGCCAGCAGCCAAAAUGAAGGCUUGACUAUUGACCCGAAGCAUUUUAGGAAACCAGGAAAGAAGCCCUUCACCAAACAAAGCUAUUUCUUUGUGGGAAGUGUUCACAUCACUGAGGAGGAAAUGAGGAAAUGUGAGAAAUACGGGAAGGCAAUUUCACAGAAAGAGGAUUUAAAUAAACAAAAAGGAAAAAUUAAAAAAUUAAAAACAAUAACAACAAAAAAGAAACAUGGGAAGGCAGGUGAGGUCUUCAUAAGGAUAAAGGCUUUGACUUUAUGCACUUGGAAGCACAAACCCUAGUAGAGAUUGCCAAAGUGGGUCUGGACAAUAUGCAGCUGUGUGCACUCUGCCUGCCACAGUGCAUCCCUUACAGUCCGAAACCUU